AGGUAACUGGUCACCAUGGUUACGCUGACACGUUUUAAUGCGGGAUGAUUUUGCGCGGGCACCAUGUUGGUUGGCGGACCGUGUGGGCAAGAUCGUGACCUUCAGUUGCAGUGGGUCAGAAUAGGGAGAUGGGACGUGAUGGACUGUAUAGUUGCUGGUGGAAUGUGAUAGAUUGUGGAGCUGCUGGUGUUAUCGUUGCAGGAGAGUUUCAGGGAAGAAGAUCCGAGUGUUUACAUACAGGCUGACUGACUCACGGCCUGACUGACUGACGGACACUGUGCUAUGCUGAUACCUCACCAAGAUUCUUUGUUCCAAAUGCAAUGGGAUCUUUUACGUCCACCAACUAAUGCAACACACGGCCAUCCGAGGGUAUGCCACACACCUUGAUGCCUCGCCCUGCAUGUGAAACAACAGCAUGAAAAUUUUAUCACUGUGUCGGGAUUCGAACACAUGUUGGACAGCUUGGAGUUGAGUGACACACCUCUCAGCUGUUCUUUCAGAAGAAGAACAAGCAGAAGAAGAACAGCGCGGAGCUCUCUUAGAGCCAAGCAACGCGACGCGGCU
rnacentral:lncRNA from 1 species